GAAUGGAGAUCGAUUAAAAAUGCCGAGGCCUGUGGUCCCAAAACCCCGGAGGAAAGAGGGAACUUUCCCUAGUGUUGAUACUUGUUGUAUGGCCGUCGCCACAGAGGGUGGUGUACCGAUGGGGGAUAUGAUCCAGAAGGUGAAGGAAAUGGACGGUGGAGAAUUUGAAACACCCAGUCUGAUUGAAACCGUCAAGGUGGAAAAUGACAAUGGUGUUGGGAAAGAGAAAAAACCGUCUGUGUCUUCUUACAAACAGGCACUGGAAAUGUUGAGAAAUGGAGGGAUCCCAGGCUGGGGAAAAAUCAUAGGCA
rnacentral:lncRNA from 1 species